AGCGGUUCACUGUCGCUGUAGGACCAGUUUACCUCAUUGUGCGUUGACAUCGCGUCGUCAGACACAGGCUAGACAUAAUAGAGCUUGAGUGCCUGAAUUUAAAUCAUUCUUGGCCGACUGUACAUGCAGAUUGCACUUAGUUUUGCAUGGUCAAGAAAUAGUUAUAAAGGUUGUAGAGACCAAAGUGCGCGGAAAAAAAUGGAGAGAGAAACGACAUCUUUGAAGCAGCAAUAUUGCUGCACAGCUGUUAUGAACGUUAUCUCGUCUUUAUUCUCUGUAGCGUCCCUUGCGUUUUGCAUAUUAUUAAGUGUACAAACAUCAGCGAUCACGGACAGGGUCCUGGAUUUGGAAACUGGACAUGGCGAGCAAAUCUUUCACAGGGUCCCCAGCUUUUCUGUGGAUCAGUUUAAUUCAUUGAUUCAAGAGAGAGUGGAUGAGCUCCUGUCACAGCGCUCCUAUGAAAAUUUAUCGAAGAUACGGGUUGCCCGACAAGUUAGCCAUACUCCUGAUUGCAACUGUCCCCCAGGCCCGCCAGGAAAGCGGGGAAGAAGAGGCCGGAAUGGCGAACCUGGACCUCCUGGUCCUCCUGGUCUACAGGGUGACAAGGGGGAUCAAGGCGACCAAGGACCGCGGAUGGUCUUCCCUAAGAUCAAUCAUGGCUUUCUUUCUGCUGACCAGCAGCUCAUAAAGCGGCGGCUUAUUAAGGGAGAUCAGGGUUCGGCAGGUCCACCAGGGCCUCCUGGACCCCCAGGUCCCCCUGGCCCCCGAGGGCCACCAGGGGACACAGGCAAGGAUGGGCCCCGGGGAGUGCAAGGUCUGCCGGGAGAUCCUGGGACCCCAGGAGAGCUAGGACUAAUGGGUCCCCUCGGGCCUCCUGGCAUCCCAGGUGUUGAUGGGCUGAAGGGUGAAAUGGGAGAGCGAGGUGAAAAGGGUGACAUGGGAGAAGAUGGGCAAAAAGGUGAAGUCGGGGAGAAGGGUGAUGCAGGCUCCUCUGCUGCAGGCAUUAAGGGUGAACCAGGAGAGUCAGGACGUGGGGGAUCAAAGGGAGAGCCAGGACUUCCAGGGCUGCCUGGACUUCCCGGGAUUAAGGGUGAGCCUGGAUUCCUAGGACCUCAGGGAGAACCGGGGCUCCCAGGACUACCAGGAACCAAGGGCGAGCGAGGGGAACUUGGCCCACCAGGCAAGGGAGAGCGGGGCGAGCCUGGACAGGCCGGUCAAAAGGGAGGGCCAGGAGAGGCAGGGAACCCAGGCCCUAGAGGUUCAAAGGGAGAGACAGGAGACAAGGGAGACCUGGGCUCUAUGGGACCAAGGGGACCCCCUGGGCAGAAAGGUGACCAAGGAGCCACUGAAAUCAUUGAUUACAACAGGAACAUCCAAGAAGCUUUACAGAAGAUUACCACUAUUACAGUGACGGGUCCCCCUGGGCCUCCUGGAUUAUCAGGACCAGAGGGAAUCAAGGGAGAUCAAGGCAUGCCUGGCCUCCCUGGACUGGACGGUGAAAGGGGUUUCAAAGGUUCCAAAGGAGACAUGGGAAUCCCUGGCACAUCUGGAGAUAAAGGAACUGUUGGCUUACCUGGUUUACCAGGCGUCAAUGGAUUGAAAGGAGAUAAGGGUGAUUCUGGUUUGCCUGGUCCUGAAGGGCCCUCAAUUAUUGGCCAACCUGGAGCACCUGGGCCCCAUGGCCCCCCAGGCCCCAUGGGACCCCAUGGCUUCCCUGGACCAAAGGGGGAGGCUGGGAAUCAUGGUCUGAAGGGAGUACGCGGGGAGUCAGGGCACAAGGGGGACAGAGGACCCCUGGGCCUCCCCGGAGCCUCCGGCUUGGACAGCAAGCCUGGAAUUAGGGGUAUGGACGGGCCUGUUGGUCCCUCCGGUCCAGCCGGGCCAAAGGGGGACAGAGGUGAGAGAGGAGCUGCAGGUGAACUUGGGCCAAGGGGACCUUAUGGACUUCCUGGAGCGGCUGGAACACCUGGCCUUGAUGGGUUGCCAGGCUUAAGGGGAGAGAAAGGCGACCCGGGGGAAAGAGGAGAAAAGGGAUUCCGGGGCUUUAAGGGUGAAAAGGGAGAACCGGGGCAACCUGGUCUGGAUGGGCUGGAUGCCCCGUGCCAAUUGGUACAGUAUUCCUCUUUUCCUUUACCUCUCCCGUGCAUGCUACUGACUUUUGCCACUGACAAAUGGCCAAUGAGAAGCCACCGUUUUGCUUUCCUUACCCAUGCAUGGCUUUAGCAUGAGGAUUGGACCCACCCAGCCAUCCAUACCCCCACCAACUCCCACUCCAAAUUACAACCAGCUCACAUGCUAAAUCACCUCUAGGUGUUUCAGACAUUUAUUAUCUAUUUUAGUUCCUUAAAGGCUACCAAAACACACUUCUUCCUGACUAACUGUCUGACUGCUAGCAGCCCUUCUUAGCUACAUAUUAUCAGAUACAGACCUACUGUAAUCUGCAAUUGAAUGCCACUGUACGUAAAUGUAAAGCACACAAGCAGUGGAUCUGUUGAUAUUCUCCCUUGAUAUUCUCUAACUGAAUCCCCCUCCCCUACUUUCUCAAUAAGUGUACAGGGACGCUUUCCUAUAAAAAAACAUAAUUCCUUAAAUGGACUUCCCUUCCAAAUUCCUUUAACAUCCCUAGUUCCUAAACAUACUCUAACCAUGGCAAGCUAUAAUCUAAGUUCCUUCAGUUCUCUUCUUUAUUGAUGCGUUUCCAUGCAAUGGCAACAUGGACCUUACCACUCCUACCUUCAAACCCCUCUACCCCUUCUGUAUUUGUACCAAUUGGGCACACCAUGACCAAGGAGAGAAGAUGUGAAAUCAGUUAUAUCCCCAGACCUUUCCAAUGCCAACUCAAAUUUGUAAUUCUUGUUUGGUGUCGGGGAGAAGUGUUGUUAUCUUGUGUGAUUUCUGAGAUGCCGUUAACGGAUGUUGUGUAAUGUAUGGAACUGAUGAUUGCUUUUGUGCCAAGGGUCCUUUUUGAGUGAGUAUAUUAAGCUAGUUUAGAUGUAUGUUACUGUAUAGUGGUAUGCAUCCACAUAUUAUUCUUAUCACAGAACAAAUUACACUUUAUGAGUAUUGAUAUGUUUGCUCUAUGUUUGCAAUUUCACAUAUCUUUAGGAGUAUAGACCCUACACAAUGGCACAUGGAUUAAUCAUAAUUUUGGAUUAUUUGAUAAAAUGUACUAAAUAUAAACCUAAGGGAGGACCAUAUAUCAUUGCAUGAUGAGAUAAAUGUCACUGUAUGUAACCAGCAUGAGUGAGAAUUCAUUGAAAUGUGUUAAAAUAUUAUCAAAUGUGAGCAUGCCAUUACAUUUUCCCAUUACAUUUUGGUUGAAGACUAGACAAUUAAACAUGAAACAUCUAAAUUACACAAGUAAUUCAAUAAAACAUAAGUGAUAUGUUAAAUUUACUGGCAGGUCUUUUAAGUGAUUAUAUUGAUUAAUGUACCAUUCUCAACAAAAUAAAAUGUAAUAUUAUCAUGUCUGUCAAUGUCUGUGAAGUAGUGUACUGUAUUUCCUCUCUCCCUUGAAUGCCCUGUGUCUGUCAAUCAAAUAUCUUCCAUCGCUUGGUUAUAUGUCUUAUGCCGAUUGCAUUCCAUCACAGACAUGAUCAUAUUUUUGGGAAGCCAGUCUUGAAAUAACAACACUGUUUUUGUUUUUGGGGCUUGUGCUGGAGAUAUGUCGGUACACUUCUUCACAGACCUUGUACCACAUAAUCUGAGACUUAGAGGCACAACAUCAAAUGAACAUUUGUGAACUGAUAUCAGUUCUGAGCAAAAAAAGCAUGUUUGUUUCUGUCACCAUUUUGUGACACUAACUAGUCAUUUCUUCCCUUUCUUCUCCCCUUACUAGGGCCCAGACGGACUACCAAUGCCUGGUUGUUGGCAAAAGUGAUCAAUCUAACCCGAAAAGCAUGGUUUGUAAAAAUAAAAUAAAAAUGUUGUUAUUUAUAAUUAUUUUUAAUGGAAAAUAUAAAAUAAAGAAAUCUAUGUGUACAACGAAAAAGAGCAAAGGUCCAUCACUCCUAACUGCUUCUACUCACCUCGCUCUGUGUCACUCUCACAUCCGCAUCUUGGAGUCCAGAUCUUUCGCAAUCGGCAGAACUUGCACACACACAAUGAUGUUUAGUCCCAGUCCUUGCAUGACCAGAGUGCUCGGGCACAGAAUGGAACGUCAUGGCUAAUUCGGAUUCAAGGGGAGUAAGGAGGUUGUGACAACAGAGGAUGAGGAAAAGGAGGCGUUGGAGGGAUCUGAACUGGCUCUUAACAGCUCUAGCUCUCGCGUUCACCAUCCAUUAAUGCCAUACUACUAGCUUAAAAGACUCCAUCCCAACAAAACACCCUCCACACCCCCAAAAAGCAUGAGGACUGUCCCAAACUAUAUUUAUAUGUAUUAAUAUACAUAUUUCAUUGUUGUGUGGUCGAAUUGUAUGGCUUCAGCAAAACACUAUCUGGCUGUCAAUCUUACUUACUCAAAAAAGAAAGCUCAACAUUUUUGGUUUUAACAUUUUUGGUUCCUUUUUCUUUUAAUGUUCCAAAGGGAGUCACGCCUUGGCUGGUGGCUUGAAAAGAAUUGUUCCCCAGGAAGUAAAGUUGGGUUGAUUUUCUUUAUUGUGGUGAGAUCUGCAAUGGGUCAAUAGAUGCAGGUCUUCACAGUUGCACUUGUCUUGAGUCCCAGGGCCCAUUCCCUGUCAACGGCCACUUGUUAUUGGACUCGGAGAAGAGUGUUAGAGCUCAAUGCACUGUGCACAGCCAAUCGGAAAUGAGCUAGGCUGACAAGGACUUUGGAUUGAACAGACCUGAUUGGGAUCCCUUCUAGUAGGGGAGACAGUGGGCCUCGGCAGAGCGAUUACAAUCGUCUCUCCUGCCAAUCAAGGAGUGCCUGCCUGUAACAAUGUUACAGUCACAACACUACAAGGUCAAGAGGGUCAAUGGAAUUCUGCCUUUUUAGUUGAAGUUUGUUCUUCUACUUACUUAAAAAAAAUGUUUUAUGUAUAAUAGCCUUUGGUGCCUCAAGCUUUUGUUCAUUCCUUUCUUUUUUAACCUGCUUUGAGUAAUUGGAAUGGUGUUUAUUGCGGAAUGGCAACCUCUUGUAAAUUGUUGAAGUAUAAAAGCACCUAUUUUGCGCACUGUUAGUAUGUAUUGAACGUUGAUAUUACUGGGUGUUAAUAAUAUGGCAUGUACAUUAUGUAUUCAAAUUAACAUAAGCUUCUGUGUAACAGAAAGGGAAUUUCAGUUGGUAGCAAAGAUGAUUACACAGCAUCAGCUUUUUCACUGAUUUGCAAACACCAAGUUUUAUAAUAUUAUAAUAACACUUGUUCAUUGCUGGCCAUUAAGUGGAAAAUACAGUCGGUGAGUUACAAUGUGCUUCACUGCAAGUUUAAUGUAUCUUUACAUUUAAAUGCAGUGUUUAUUUUCAGUAAUAUGUCUGCAACAAUAAGAUUUUUGAACAUUAUGAUUUGGUAAUUCAGUAUGGUACAUUUGCACGUAAAAAUGCCUUUCGGAAAAAUGUAUCAUUUUUUACUAGAAAAUUAUUGUUUUUUCCAAAUGUCAAACGGCAGUUUGCCUCAACUGGAUCAUGUCUACGCCACUUGCAGCAUUCUUCCUUUUUUCUCUCUCUCUCUCUAUAUAUUUUUUUUUUACAAAAUGUAAAUGGUGUAUUACAUGGACAGGCUCAAUAGGUAACACAUUUAAUUUCAGUUGAAUGGCCCUGCUUCCAUUUGUAACCCAUAAUUGUAUUCAUUGCCAUUUACAUCACAUUCCAUAGCAAUUUGGAAAGAAAAUUGAGCCUGUUUCUUAAUUUCAUAAUGUCAAGGAUGUCCUAAUUCUAACAAUGCCCUUAUGCACAAUGAUAUUUGAUGCAUAAUGCUAUUUGGAACAGUUAUUGUAAGAUUAGUAAUCAAUUAGUACAAUAUGUGCCGGUUUCCCAGACACAGAUUAAGCCUACUCCUGGACUAAAAAGCAUUUUUGAUGGAGAAUCUCUAUUGAGCAUACUUUUUAGUCCAGGACUAGGCUUAAAUCUGUGUCCGGGAAACUGACCCUCUAGCCCCAUUUAUACCUGGUUCUAACUUGCAUCCUUUGUCCUGAUCUUGUCCACAUUCUGAUUGUGCCCACAUUUUUUAACAGGUGUAGACAAUCAAAAGACACAUUGUGAUCCAAUUGUGAUCAGAUCAUCCUGCCAACCUCUGGAGGCGUUGUGUCUGGAUAUCUUACAAGUGUAGACAGAUCUGUACAGAGAGACCAUUUAAAUUGUACAUUUUCCUCUAAAAUCAUUGACCGGUGGCACCAUUGACUGAUUACAUCAAUAUGUGUCUUACAAUAAAUAAAUACAUAUUAUUUUUAAAGAAUAACUGUGAAACAAUUUUCAUAAAGGAAGGGGCCAGGAAAUCUGGUCACAAUGCAGACACAGUGGAUGGAUAACAGACACAUUUUAAUACAAUGUGUAGACACAUUUCUGGAAAUGUGGUCACAAUCAGAAUAAAUACAAGAUCAGGACAAAGGACCCAUGUUAGCACAAUGUAUAAACGGGGCUUAUAUGUAAUACCGGCACAUGUCCACUCUAUAAAAGUGUUAUUUUUGUUGUUUUUGUGACAAGUUUGACCACUCCACCCCAACUGUACAGGGUUAUCAGCUAUAUCACAAAGUAAAUAGUAUGCGUGUGAACAGUAGGUCAUCUGUUACAGUGUGGUGUCAUUAUGGUGCUAUCAUCUUGUUAGAAAAAUCUCUAAAGAGUAUUACCUAUCCAUGACAACCAUAAGACAACAGAGGUUUCUUUAUCAUUUUUCAUGUAACAGUUUAAAACAUUUUGUGCAUAUACAUUUUAUAUUUGUCUCACUAUUUUAAGUGUUACAUUAUUUAUUUUUGUAUUUUUCUUAAAGAAGGCAUUUUGGUUAUUAACAGGCAUUCCUUAUAAAAUGGGGGUAGCUUUUGAAGGUCUUGAUACCGUUUUUUUCAGCUUUUGUCUAUCAUAGUGGUGCAUUGUCAUUGAGAUGUCACACAAGUACAUUAGAUGUGAAGGAAGUUUGUUGUCAUUAUCAUCAAAUUGAUGUAUUGGUCAGGUAUUUACAAUGCUAGUUCACUCCCAAUUUUGCAGGCCUUACCUUGGCAUGCAAUUGUAUUCAUAAAACAAGAAAGUGUUGAUGGGCUUGGCUAAAAUAUUGUCUGUCCCUGACAAGCAGCAUAAAUAUGAUAAUAUUGUUCUUUCUUUUUUCUCUCUUUGCAUUGAAUGUAGUUUGAAUGUAAUAUGUAUAGUGAAUUAUAAAUGUGGAGUUUAAUAUCUGCUUAUUUGACAAAAGUGCAAUUUAUACUUUGGUUGAUAUGUGCAGCAUCAGAAUGCAGAUUAAUAACAGUUACAGACAUUUAUUAUCAGGACAAUAUGUUAGUCAAUUUGUUCCCCAUGAAAAGUACCACUACACUGGCUUAGAAAAAAUACAAAUGUUUUGAUUGACAAGUUACAUUUUUAGUUACAAACUUGUAAAUAUAGACUUUCUUGUUAUCCAUAUUUUAAGGCUUGAUUUGAAUUGAUUUAUUGUAGCCUCAAUUGCUGUCCACAAAUCAUUUGCUCUUAAGUUGUUAGUGGUGUGAUAGAAAACACAUAAUUUGUCUAUGAUUUGGUCUGUCUUUUAUUUAGAACCUUCGUAAGAUUUUGUACUACGAUGGCGCUGUGUCUUCAGUUAACGUGCAGCUGAUUCUUCUUUGUAUCUUUGUUCAAUUAUAUAUUAUGAAGUUACACACUUACAUUUAAAGGCUGGUAGUGGGUGGUCCCCACAUAGUUGAUACACACUUCUUUAACCCACCAAGUACCAGUUUUUUAUUUGGUGGCAAAUAUACCAGAGCCCUUUUUUCUGACAUAUAUAUACUAACAUUUCUUUUAACAUCCUCCUUACACUAUAGCCUAUUUCCCUCAGUGCAGUAAUGCAACCUAAUAGAAGCUGGAAAAGUAAAGAUAUAACUUCAAUUGAACAUAGUUGUCUAAGUAUUCUAAAAUGUAAAUGCAAUAGCUAAGUCCAUCUCACAGCUUUUGAAUAACUUACAUUUAAUUUCUGUUAUGUUUUUUUUCUAUUCUGCAUUUGUAUCACUCAUUUUUUACAAGUUUGCAAAUGAAUACAAUUUGCUAUCAGAUUAUGGAUACUUCUGCACACAUAAUUUCAAAACCAUUUCAUAUGACUGUACUGUUGGAGCCAAAUAAAUGCAGUCUUUCAAAUAA